rnacentral:rRNA from 1 species
CAGUCGCCGCGGGAAUACGAAGGGUGCAAGCGUUAAUCGGAAUUACUGGGCGUAAAGCGUGCGUAGGCGGUUUGUUAAGUCUGCUGUGAAAUCCCCGGGCUCAACCUGGGAAUUGCAGUGGAUACUGGGUCACUAGAGUGUGGUAGAGGAUAGUGGAAUUUCCGGUGUAGCAGUGAAAUGCGUAGAGAUCGGAAGGAACAUCUGUGGCGAAGGCGACUAUCUGGGCCAACACUGACACUGAGGCACGAAAGCGUGGGGAGCAAACAGGAUUAGAUACCCCUGUAGUCCCUGUCUCUUAUAC